GUAGAAAUGACUCAGUGGUUAAGAGCACUGGUAUUAUUCCAGAUGACUUGGGUUCAAUUCCCAGCAACUACA
rnacentral:tRNA from 1 species